UGGGGAAUUUUGGACAAUGGGGGCAACCCUGAUCCAGCAAUGCCGCGUGUGUGAAGAAGGCCUUCGGGUUGUAAAGCACUUUUGUCCGGGAAGAAAUCGCACCUGAUAAUACCGGGUGUGGAUGACGGUACCGGAAGAAUAAGGACCGGCUAACUACGUGCCAGCAGCCGCGGUAAUACGUAGGGUCCAAGCGUUAAUCGGAAUUACUGGGCGUAAAGCGUGCGCAGGCGGUUGUGCAAGACCGAUGUGAAAUCCCCGGGCUUAACCUGGGAAUUGCAUUGGUGACUGCACGGCUAGAGUGUGUCAGAGGGGGGUAGAAUUCCACGUGUAGCAGUGAAAUGCGUAGAGAUGUGGAGGAAUACCGAUGGCGAAAGCAGCCCCCUGGGAUAACACUGACGCUCAUGCACGAAAGCGUGGGGAGCAAACAGG
rnacentral:rRNA from 1 species